UUAACACAUGCAAGUCGAGGGGCAGCAUGGUCUUAGCUUGCUAAGGCCGAUGGCGACCGGCGCACGGGUGAGUAACACGUAUCCAACCUGCCGUCUACUCUUGGACAGCCUUCUGAAAGGAAGAUUAAUACAAGAUGGCAUCAUGAGUCCGCAUGUUCACAUGAUUAAAGGUAUUCCGGUAGACGAUGGGGAUGCGUUCCAUUAGAUAGUAGGCGGGGUAACGGCCCACCUAGUCUUCGAUGGAUAGGGGUUCUGAGAGGAAGGUCCCCCACAUUGGAACUGAGACACGGUCCAAACUCCUACGGGAGGCAGCAGUGAGGAAUAUUGGUCAAUGGGCGAGAGCCUGAACCAGCCAAGUAGCGUGAAGGAUGACUGCCCUAUGGGUUGUAAACUUCUUUUAUAAAGGAAUAAAGUCGGGUAUGGAUACCCGUUUGCAUGUACUUUAUGAAUAAGGAUCGGCUAACUCCGUGCCAGCAGCCGCGGUAAUACGGAGGAUCCGAGCGUUAUCCGGAUUUAUUGGGUUUAAAGGGAGCGUAGAUGGAUGUUUAAGUCAGUUGUGAAAGUUUGCGGCUCAACCGUAAAAUUGCAGUUGAUACUGGAUAUCUUGAGUGCAGUUGAGGCAGGCGGAAUUCGUGGUGUAGCGGUGAAAUGCUUAGAUAUCACGAAGAACUCCGAUUGCGAAGGCAGCCUGCUAAGCUGCAACUGACAUUGAGGCUCG
rnacentral:rRNA from 1 species